CUGGAUAUGGUGUAACGGCUAACAUUUGCGUCUCGUACGUUGAAUAUCUCGUCAGAGCGCAAACUUGGGGUUCGACUCCCUGUGUCCAAA